CAGCAGCCACGGGAAUACAGAGGGUGCAAGCGUUAAUCGGAUUUACUGGGCGUAAAGGGCGCGUAGGUGGUUAUUUAAGUGAGAUGUGAAAGCCCCGGGCUUAACCUGGGAACUGCAUCUUAUACUGGGUAACUGGAGUGCAGUAGAGGGUAGUGGAAUUUCCGGUGUAGCGGUGAAAUGCGUAGAUAUCGGAAGGAACACCAGUGGCGGAGGCGGCUACCUGGACUGAGACUGACACUGAGGCGCGAGAGCGUGGGGAGCAGACAGGAUUAGAUACCCCAGUAGUCCCUGUCUCUUAUAC
rnacentral:rRNA from 1 species